UACGUAGAAGACUAGUGUUAUUCAUCUUUAAUAGGUUUAAAGGGUACCUAGACGGUAUAAUUAGUCUUAAACAGGAUACGAUUAUACUAGAGUUAUAUAUGAGGAGGUGAGUAUUUAUGCAGUAGAGUUGAAAUUCGUUGAUAGCAUAACGACUGGUAACGGCGAAAGCAACCUUUUAUCUAAUAACUGACGUUGAGGGACGAAGGCUCGGGUAACGAACAGGAUUAGAAAACCCCCGGUAGU
rnacentral:rRNA from 1 species